AGUCGUCCCACGUCUGUCUCUAUGUAUGCUUAGAUCUUUAAAACUACGCAACGGAUUUUGAUGCAGUUUUUUUAAUUGCUAGAGUGAUUCAAGAGGAAAGUUUUUUGUAAGAAAAAAAAGAGAAGACUGAAGACUGUAUUAUUGUACUAUUUGUGCCGUGUAUCACCAUGACAACAAGAUUAUUUAUUGAACUGAGUAAAUAGUACUAACUUUGUACAGAAAUUAUAAAGUCUUGUCUGGAAAAUUGUUUCUCAACCUUUUUAGUGUCGCGACCCCCAAAAUAGGUAUAAAAUAUGGUCAAUCACUUAGCGAACCCACCCACCCCCACUCUAUCUAUAUUAGGUAAAAAUUUAAUUGGAAUUUAUAUUUUGUAAAUCAGCGUUUUAUUAUUUUUGACCUACAUGGCCCUCUGGUUGAGAAACGCUAGUCUGGAAGACGUUGUCGUUCAAAUAUAGGUCGUAGUACAAUGAAUGCCAAAAAAGCAAAAUCGUCAACAGAACGUGAGGCUCUCCUUCAGCCAACUUUAGGAUAGAUAUAGAGUUUAUAGAGCCAAAUAAUUGCCUGCACAGACACAUGGUAACACAGAACAAAACGGACAACCGAACAGCAACAGAUCCGAGAGAGUAACUAAUUCAUGGGUACCAUAUCAGUAGUGUGUAAACAUUGAUUGGUAUUGAAAUUCAAGGACGAAUCGAAAGAUAUGUGUUUCUUAUAAGGAAAAGUAAAAUUAGAAGACAUUCUUUCACUCCCUCUUUACGGGUGAUCAUCCAAAAUCCAAACUAUUCGUGCGCAUUAUACGUCAUUUUAAUAACGCAUUUAUUAACGCAUUUCAAAUGACUUCUUUCAAGAAUCCAGAUAAUAUCCAUGUGAAGCACGGGGCGGGUCGCUAGUUAUUACAACAAAAAUAAUAAUGAUUUUGUAUUUACGACAAAUGAAAAUGAAAGUACAAUAGAAACGAAUUUUUUCUGCUACGAUCUUCAGCAAACGUUUUCAUCAAUAACGAUAAAUUCAAUUUUUCAGCACGCCAAAUUUUUAAGGAAAUCGUCACAAGGUCACUGAGCCACGUUUGGGAUAUGGUGCUUCUUAAAUAAUUUUUUAUUAAUUUAAGUUAAUAGGGGCCGACUCCACCGACGCCGCCUCUGCUGGCCCUGCAGCGACCGCGGCUUUGCAAGCGACCACUCGGAGCGGACCGGGUUCGGCACUCAUGUGGCUUGUGCGCCGACAUCGGCAUGCAACCGAAGGGUCUACGAACAGCAAGAUCGCCGGUGACGCUUCGAGGUCGGGUUAUGCGCAGGAUAGUUUAACGCGCGAUAGCUAAUAGUAAUAUUUGCAUUCGUUGAGCCAAUACAAUAAUGCCGAUUGGAGUGACAAAUGUUCUUCGAGUGAUCAUAAUGAUGUUUAUAAAAAACACAAAGACCGAACGGUGGUCCCGUUAAAAAAAUCAAUUUUUUUACCACUUUCGUCCAAAUGUAAAUGAGUUAUAUACUCGUAUUUAUGCGGAUCACGUAUUCAAUUUGGUUGCAAUAUUUCUGAAUUUUACUAAAAUAAACGUAUUGAAACAAUUAUUUACAAUUAUAUGUAAGGUGUACAAAUAAUUGAAUUUCAACAUUUCAUGUGUAUAUAGAGUAUCCUGAAAGUGAUUAAUUUUAAAUAAUACAUUUUUGCAAGUCGUACAACACUCUGUAUAUAUUUCAUGAGCGGAUAUUUGUCACAUCUAUUUAGGGCAGGGGUCGGCAACCUUUUGAAUCACGCGGGCCAUAUUUUUUUUCAAAUGUUUAU